rnacentral:rRNA from 1 species
UGAGCUCAAAUUUAAAAUCUGGCGUCUUUCAGGCGUCCGAGUUGUAAUCUAUAGAGGCGUUUUCCGCGCCGGACCGCGUCCAAGUCUCUUGGAAUAGAGUAUCAAAGAGGGUGACAAUCCCGUACUUGACGCGACAACCGGUGCUCUGUGAUACGUUCUCAAUGAGUCGAGUUGUUUGGGAAUGCAGCUCUAAAUGGGUGGUAAAUUCCAUCUAAGGCUAAAUAUUGGCGAGAGACCGAUAGCGAACAAGUACCGUGAGGGAAAGAUGAAAAGCACUUUGGAAAGAGAGUUAAACAGCACGUGAAAUUGUUAAAAGGGAAACGAUUGAAGUCAGUCGUGUGAAAGGUAUUCAGCCGUCUCUGGCGGUGUAUUUGCCUUUCACGGGUCAACAUCAGUUUGAUCCGGUAGAAAAAGGCGGGAGGAAGGUGGCACCCUCGGGUGUGUUAUAGCCUCCUGUCAUAUGUGCCGGACCAGACUGAGGAACGCAGCUUGCCGCAAGGCCGGGGUUCGCCCACGUACAAGCUUAUGAUGUUGACAU